CGUCCCCGAGACACGAUGGUGAAGGUUGUAGUCAACGGAUUUGGCCAUAUUGGGCGCCUGGUCACCAGGGCUGCUUUUAACUCUGGCAAAGUGGACAUUGUCGCCAUCAAUGACCCCUUCAUUGACCUCAACUACAUGGUCUACAUGUUCCAGUAUGAUUCCACCCACGGCAAAUUCCAUGGCACAGUCAAGGCUGAAAAUGGGAAACUUGUCAUCAAUGGAAAGCCCAUCACCAUCUUCCAGGAGCGAGAUCCCGCCAACAUCAAAUGGGGUGAUGCUGGUGCUGAGUAUGUUGUGGAGUCCACUGGGGUCUUCACCACCAUGGAGAAGGCUGGGGCUCACUUGAAGGGUGGGGCCAAGAGUGUCAUCAUCUCUGCCCCUUCUGCUGAUGCCCCCAUGUUUGUGAUGGGCGUGGACCAGGAGAAGUAUGAUAACUCCCUCAAGAUUGUCAGCAAUGCCUCCUGCACCACCAACUGCCUGGCCCCUCUGGCCAAGGUCAUCCAUGACCACUUCAGCAUUGUGGAGGGACUCAUGACCACAGUCCAUGCCAUCACCGCCACCCAGAAGACCGUGGACGGCCCCUCUGGGAAGCUGUGGCAUGACGGCAGAGGGGCCGCCCAGAACAUCAUCCCUGCUUCUACUGGCGCUGCCAAGGCUGUGGGCAAGGUCAUUCCUGAGCUGAACGGGAAGCUCACUGGCAUGGCCUUCCGUGUCCCCACCCCCAAUGUGUCCGUCGUGGAUCUGACCUGCCGCCUGGAGAAAGCUGCCAAAUACGAUGACAUCAAGAAGGUGGUGAAGCAGGCAUCAGAGGGUCCCCUCAAGGGCAUCCUGGGCUACACUGAGGACCAGGUUGUCUCCUGCGACUUUAACAGUGACACC